GACGAACGCUGGCGGCGUGCCUAAUACAUGCAAGUCGAACGCUUCUUUCCUCCCGAGUGCUUGCACUCAAUUGGAAAGAGGAGUGGCGGACGGGUGAGUAACACGUGGGUAACCUACCCAUCAGAGGGGGAUAACACUUGGAAACAGGUGCUAAUACCGCAUAACAGUUUAUGCCGCAUGGCAUAAGAGUGAAAGGCGCUUUCGGGUGUCGCUGAUGGAUGGACCCGCGGUGCAUUAGCUAGUUGGUGAGGUAACGGCUCACCAAGGCCACGAUGCAUAGCCGACCUGAGAGGGUGAUCGGCCACACUGGGACUGAGACACGGCCCAGACUCCUACGGGAGGCAGCAGUAGGGAAUCUUCGGCAAUGGACGAAAGUCUGACCGAGCAACGCCGCGUGAGUGAAGAAGGUUUUCGGAUCGUAAAACUCUGUUGUUAGAGAAGAACAAGGACGUUAGUAACUGAACGUCUCCUGACGGUAUCUAACCAGAAAGACACGGCUAACUACGUG
rnacentral:rRNA from 1 species